CAAGCAUUCUGAUGAUUUCAUAGUUCAAUUGAAUUACUAUGAUGAAAUUGAUAGCAUUUGUCUUUCGCUCCUAUCUGACUUGCAAU